rnacentral:rRNA from 1 species
GAGCGAACUCGCAAGAGAGGCAGCCAGCUAAGGUAUGGCCGGUAAUUGGGGUGGAGUCGUAACAAGGUAGCCGUGGGGGAACCAGCGGCUGGAUCACCUCCUUUCUAAGGA